rnacentral:rRNA from 1 species
GUGGGGAAUCUUGCGCAAUGGGCGAAAGCCUGACGCAGCCAUGCCGCGUGAAUGAUGAAGGUCUUAGGAUUGUAAAAUUCUUUCACCGGGGACGAUAAUGACGGUACCCGGAGAAGAAGCCCCGGCUAACUUCGUGCCAGCAGCCGCGGUAAUACGAAGGGGGCUAGCGUUGCUCGGAAUUACUGGGCGUAAAGGGCGCGUAGGCGGACAGUUUAGUCAGAGGUGAAAGCCCAGGGCUCAACCUUGGAAUUGCCUUUGAUACUGGCUGUCUUGAGUACGGGAGAGGUGAGUGGAACUCCGAGUGUAGAGGUGAAAUUCGUAGAUAUUCGGAAGAACACCAGUGGCGAAGGCGACUCACUGGCCCGUUACUGACGCUGAGGCGCGAAAGCGUCGGGAGCAAACAGGAUUAGAACCCCGAGUAGUCC